CCUGCCUCCUGCACAGCGUGUGGAACUAGCAAGUUACACGAUCAGCCCUGACUUAAAGAUUCAACAGAAUCCACCUCUUGAUGGGAGAUGAAGAAUGCACGUAUGGGGCUGGAAGGAACGGAAAGUGACCAGAAUGUAGGAACUGUGGUCUGUCUCAAUCUCUGAGGUAUGCCUGGCAUAUGGAUGCAGCAAAAAGACACUGUCUAUGAAGCAGAGAAUGAGCCCUACUAGACAAUGAAUCUGCUGGCAUCUUGAUCUUGGACUUCCCAGCCUCCAGAAAUGUGAGCGAUACAUUUCUAUUGUCUAUAAAUUACGCAGUAUAAGGUAUCUUGUUAGAGCGGCUCAAGUGGACUAAAACAGGCUGUGUGGUGGUCUUAAUACAUAGCCUCAUUAUCCUUUGAGCCUCCUCCCAUGAGAGGUGGGGUUUCUGUCCUCUAUUCUUGAUUCUGGGCUGGCUUCUGAUUGCUUCAACCAGUAGAGAAGGGCAGAAGUGAAACUAUGUGACUCCAAAGUUGGGGCAGAAAAGUGCAGGUAGCUUCUAACUAUUCCUCUUGGGACACUCAGUCUGGGGGAAGCCAACAGCUUGUAAGAAGUCUGACCACUCUGAGCCUCCCAUACUGAAAAGGCCAUAUGUAGAUGCUCCAGUUAACAGCGCCAGCUAAGCUUCUAGCCGACAUCCAGUUGCCAGCCAUGUGAUGAGUGGUCUUGGACGUUUAGCCCAGUUGAGCUUUCAGACAACUGCAGCCCAGGCCAACCUCUGACUGCAACCACAUGACUUGAAGCAAGAACUACUCAGCUGUGCCCUUCCCCAAAUCAUGAGCAAAAUGAAAUGGCUGUUUUCAGCUGCCAAAUUUUGGGGUAAUAUGUCAGGCAUCCAUAGUAUGUGGAAUAGGCCAUUUCUUUAGUGCUUUCUCCUUCACAAAGACCUCCAUAGUCCUAACAUCUCAGAGUCGACUUGACGUCCCCACUGGAUCAUGUCCCAUCCCAGUCUGCGGACAUCUCAAACUUAACAUGUCCAAAAAUAAACUCUUGGUCCCAGGCCUGUCUCUCACUGCUUAGUCUUCCCUGUCCAAUAAAUGGCACCUCCAUUCCCAGUUGUGUAAGGCAGAAGUCUGGGCAUUGUCCUUGAAUUCUUUCUUCCUGUCAACCCCACAGGCAAUCUCUCUGAAAGGUCUCUUGGCUUUACUUCUAAAAUGCAGCUCAGGCCGGGUGCAGUGGCUCACACCUGUAAUCCCAGCACUCUGGGAGACCGAGGGGGGCGGAUCACCUGAGGGCAGGAGUUCAAGACCAGCCUGGCCAACAUCAUGAAACCUCAUCUCUAUUAAAAAAAAUAAUUAGCUGGGCAUGGUGGCACAUGCCUGUAAUCCCAGCUACUUGGGAGGUUGGAG
rnacentral:lncRNA from 1 species